rnacentral:rRNA from 1 species
AAACUAACAAGGAUUCCCCUAGUAGCGGCGAGCGAAGCGGGAAGAGCUCAAAUUUAUAAUCUGGCACCUUCGGUGUCCGAGUUGUAAUCUCUAGAAAUGUUUUCCGCGUUGGACCGCACACAAGUCUGUUGGAAUACAGCGGCAUAGUGGUGAGACCCCCGUAUAUGGUGCGGACGCCCAGCGCUUUGUGAUACAUUUUCGAAGAGUCGAGUUGUUUGGGAAUGCAGCUCAAAUUGGGUGGUAAAUUCCAUCUAAAGCUAAAUAUUGGCGAGAGACCGAUAGCGAACAAGUACCGUGAGGGAAAGAUGAAAAGCACUUUGGAAAGAGAGUUAACAGUACGUGAAAUUGUUGGAAGGGAAACGCUUGAAGUCAGACUUGCUUGCCGAGCAAUCGGUUUGCAGGCCAGCAUCAGUUUUCCGGGAUGGAUAAUGGUAGAGAGAAGGUAGCAGUUUCGGCUGUGUUAUAGCUCUCUACUGGAUACAUCUUGGGGGACUGAGGAACGCAGUGUGCCUUUUGGCGGGGGUUUCGACCUCUUCACACUUAGGAUGCUGGUGGAAUGGCUUUAAACGAC